AUGAUUGACAAAUCGGGUAAGAGUAAUGCACACUUUAUUAUUUCAUUAUUUCAUUAUUUCAUGACAGCUUUAAUGCAUGCAAUAAGCCCACCAAUGUCAGGUAAGUGUUAUGUACUUAAUUUUUGGAUCAUUAUAAUCCCUGCUACAUCUUUCAAUGAGAAUUUAUUUGACUCAUUUUUGAACUUCAGGAUUCACGUCUACAACAAUGAGGAUGUGACAAAUUUCUCAAUGGCGUUGUCUCAAUUUUCAUUAGGAGUUAUUGGCGCUGUCUCAAUUUUCUCUCUUCGGCACUACUCUUUUAUCUGGAAAGACACUUUCAGUUUGUUUGUGGGAUGGAAGAGCCCCUUGAAAUACCUAUACUAA